rnacentral:rRNA from 1 species
ACAGCAAUAUGAAGGUCAGGCUGAAGACCUUACCGGAUUAGCUGAGAGGUGGUGCAUGGCCGUCGUCAGUUCGUACUGUGAAGCAUCCUGUUAAGUCAGGCAACGAGCGAGACCCACGUCCACAGUUGCCAGCAUACCCUCCGGGGUGAUGGGUACACUGUGGAGACCGCCGCUGCUAAAGCGGAGGAAGGAAUGGGCAACGGCAGGUCAGUAUGCCCCGAAUCUCCCGGGCUACACGCGGGCUACAAUGGUUGGUACAAUGGGCAUCUACCCGAAAGGGAAGGAAAUCUCUUAAAGCCAAUCGUAGUUCGGAUUGAGGGCUGCAACUCGCCCUCAUGAAGCUGGAAUCCGUAGUAAUCGCGUUUCAACAGAACGCGGUGAAUACGUCCCUGCUCCUU